rnacentral:rRNA from 1 species
UACAGAGGGUGCGAGCGUUGUUCGGAAUUAUUGGGCGUAAAGCGCGUGUAGGCGGCUUUGCAAGUCGGGUGUGAAAGCCCUCAGCUCAACUGAGGAAGUGCGCCCGAAACUGCAGAGCUUGAGUGCCGGAGAGGGUGGCGGAAUUCCCCAAGUAGAGGUGAAAUUCGUAGAUAUGGGGAGGAACACCGGUGGCGAAGGCGGCCACCUGGACGGUGACUGACGCUGAGACGCGAAAGCGUGGGGAGCAAACAGG